rnacentral:rRNA from 1 species
ACUCCUACGGGGAGGCAGCAGUAGGGAAUCUUCCACAAUGGGCGCAAGCCUGAUGGAGCAACACCGCGUGAGUGAAGAAGGGUUUCGGCUCGUAAAGCUCUGUUGUUAAAGAAGAACACGUAUGAGAGUAACUGUUCAUACGUUGACGGUAUUUAACCAGAAAGUCACGGCUAACUACGUGCCAGCAGCCGCGGUAAUACGUAGGUGGCAAGCGUUAUCCGGAUUUAUUGGGCGUAAAGAGAGUGCAGGCGGUUUUCUAAGUCUGAUGUGAAAGCCUUCGGCUUAACCGGAGAAGUGCAUCGGAAACUGGAUAACUUGAGUGCAGAAGAGGGUAGUGGAACUCCAUGUGUAGCGGUGGAAUGCGUAGAUAUAUGGAAGAACACCAGUGGCGAAGGCGACUACCUGGUCUGCAACUGACGCUGAGACUCGAAAGCAUGGGUAGCGAACAGGAUUAGAUACCCUGGUAGGAUAGCG